rnacentral:rRNA from 1 species
GAUGAACGCUGGCGGCGUGCUUAACACAUGCAAGUCAUGGGGGCCCGAAGCGCAAGCUUGGGGCAACCGGCGAACGGGUGCGUAACACGUGAGCAACCUACCCAGGUGUGGGGGAUAGCCGUCCCAACGGACGGGUAAUACCGCAUACGCUCGACACGAGGCAUUUCGAGUCGAGAAAACCUUCGGGGCACCAUGAGGGGCUCGCGGCCUAUCAGCUAGUUGGCGAGGUAACGGCUCACCAAGGCUACGACGGGUAGCUGGUCUGAGAGGAUGACCAGCCACAUUGGGACUGAGAAACGGCCCAGACUCCUACGGGAGGCAGCAGU